AUUGAACGCUGGCGGAAUGCUUUACACAUGCAAGUCGAGCGGCAGCGCGGGGGCAACCCUGGCGGCGAGCGGCGAACGGGUGAGUAAUACAUCGGAACGUGUCCUUAAGUGGGGGAUAGCUCGGCGAAAGCCGGAUUAAUACCGCAUAAGCUCUGAGGAGGAAAGCGGGGCUACGUAGGACCUCGCGCUGUUGGAGCGGCCGAUGUCGGAUUAGCUAGUUGGUAGGGGUAAACGGCCCACCAAGGCGACGAUCCGUAGCUGGUCUGAGAGGAUGAUCAGCCACACUGGAACUGAGACACGGUCCAGACUCC
rnacentral:rRNA from 1 species